UAGAUGAUGAUCUUGGGAGCUUAUCUUGCUGAAUUGCUAGCAUGUUUUCAUCACAAUCUUCAGUUUCUGCAACAAAACAGCAUGCUGCAUCAAUUUGUAUCAACAUUGUAGUGGUGAUUGCAUUGAUUUGGCAUUACCCUGAUGCUCUAGCAUUGUCCGUCAUGUUUCUUAGUGCUGGAGAACUUAUUACAAAGGUUAGAACUUGUCUGAUUUUGUAUUUAUAUUGUUAUUACAA